rnacentral:rRNA from 1 species
AACGAACGCUGGCGGCGUGCUUAACACAUGCAAGUCGAACGCGAAAGGGGCUUCGGUCCUGAGUAGGGUGGCGCACGGGUGAGUAACGCGUAGAUAACCUGUCCUGGUGUCUGGAAUAACGUCUCGAAAGGGGCACUAAUACCGGAUAUUCUUGCUUUCCUCAAGGUAUGCAAGGAAAGGUGGCCUCUGGAACAAGCUACUGCACGAGGAGGGGGCUGCGUACCAUUUGCUAGUAGGUGGGGUAAUGGCCUACCUAGGCGAAGAUGGUUAGCGGGUCUGAGAGGAUGAUCCGCCACACUGGCACUGGAAUACGGGCCAGACUCCUACGGGAGGCAGCAGUGAGGAAUAUUGCGCAAUGGGGGCAACCCUGACGCAGCGACGCCGCGUGAGUGAGGAAGGCCUUCGGGUCGUAAAGCUCUGUCAAGAGGGAAGAAGUGCAUGGUGGUUAAUAUCUGUCAUGUUUGACGGUACCUCUAAAGGAAGCACCGGCUAACUCCGUGCCAGCCGCCGCAGUAAUAC